rnacentral:rRNA from 1 species
CAGUAGCCGCGGUAAUACAGAGGGUGCGAGCGUUAAUCGGAUUUACUGGGCGUAAAGCGUGCGUAGGCGGCUUUUUAAGUCGGAUGUGAAAUCCCUGAGCUUAACUUAGGAAUUGCAUUCGAUACUGGGAAGCUAGAGUAUGGGAGAGGAUGGUAGAAUUCCAGGUGUAGCGGUGAAAUGCGUAGAGAUCUGGAGGAAUACCGAUGGCGAAGGCAGCCAUCUGGCAUAAUACUGACGCUGAGGUACGAAAGCAUGGGGAGCAAACAGGAUUAGAGACCCCUGUAGUCCCUGUCUCUUAUAC